rnacentral:rRNA from 1 species
GCAGCCACUCAUUCAAAGAGUGCGUAAUAGCUCACUGGUCGAGUGAUCCUGCGCCGAAGAUUUCCGGGGCUAAAACUUACUACCGAAGCUACGGCAUCAGUAAUGAUGGGUAGGGGAGCUUCCCAUACGGGUUGAAGCAUGACCGUAAGGACAUGUGGACAGUAUGGGAGUGAGAAUGUUGGCAUGAGUAGCGAGAUGUGGGUGAGAAUCCCACAGGCCGUAAACCCAAGGUUUCCAGGGGAAGGUUCGUCCGCCCUGGGUUAGUCGGGACCUAAGCUGAGGCCGAAAGGCGUAGGGGAUGGACAACAGGUUGAUAUUCCUGUACUACCGAUAACCGUUUGAGAGAAGGGAUGACACAGUAGGAUAAGCUAAGCACACUGUUGGUUAUGUGUGCCCAAGCAUUGAGGCAGUCAAAGUAGGCAAAU